GGGAGUAUGAGACUGAAACUGGCAUGUUGACAGGAGUGGUUGUCAACUUGCCAGACUGUUACCAUUGCUGCAACGAGGCCCAAGAUGACAUGAUCAUGCCAGGUUAUGUUGAGUCAGGAUGAUGCCAUAAGCUUCAGCCAGUUCCCAACCUGCAUUUGUCCCAAUGGUUUCCUUUAUUAAUGAUUGAUUAUAGCCCACCUUCGCUAAAUGGUCCCAGGCAGGGCUUUUUUCAGCCAGAACUCAGUUAUGGCACCUCUCAGAUGGGCACCAUUGCCAUUAUAAGAGAGCAAGGGAGGAAUUAAUGGUGGGUCCUGGCUAGAAAAAUAGCACUGGUCCAAUGACAUGUUACAAAAGCCCAGGAUAGUUUGCAAUUUAGAUCUCUUUCAAUAUAAUUUCAAGCAUCCUAAACAUAAAGUACCCAUGCAUGGCUAAAUAUAUGCAAGACUGUGCCUUUAAAAAGUUCCCUAGUUUUAUUCCACUGCCACAGCUGAAUGCCUGAAAAGAAGAACUGCUUUUUCUGAAAAUAAAAGUCAGAUAUAGUUUUAAACACCCUAAAGUAAUAUUAGAAAUUCUCUUAGAAACAAUAGUGAUUUAUCAGAGAGAUAGUUUUGUUUCAGUUUUGGUUAGCUGUUACCUUUAGCAUCUGCUACGCUUGUCAUUUCGAAUAUAGCAGUAUUAUGAUUUUUGUAAAGAAAGCAAGGCGCAGAUAGAGGAAGACGUGAUUGCAGAAUUAAGGUCCCAGUUUUAACAUUUUGCCUCCUUCAUCCCCACCUGACCAUGUUUGACAAAAGGAAAAGAUUCAUUGGGGUUAAUAAUAAUAACGCAGAUCUCUGCACCGAAGGAGAAACUGAUUGAUGUUUACUCAGGCUCACAUUUUCUUAUUUGAAGCCGGGGCUUAUCUUAGAGCCUUUGCUAAAAGAGGCUUACUGUUUAAUUAUAACUCUGAAUGUUGAGUCCUUAACACUAAUAAUCAGAUUCUUGUGAGAAAUGCUAGGAUAUUGUGCUUGAGAUUCCCCCCACCCCUUCUAUUCAUUGUUUAGUUUAGCAGGGCCUGUCUUCUUUGAAGGCCUCUAAUUUUCUUCCAGAUUGUAGAUCUAUUUUUUAUUUUUAUUCUAAGUUCAGCAUAUCACUGAUCACUCUGUGCUUUGUCUCUUAUACUUAGAACCAGAAAAAGCAGGUCCAGGCAAAGUUUCCAUUGUUUAGCCAAAGCCUAUUUCAUAAAGGGAUGCGGGUGGCGCUGUGGGUUAAACCACAGAGCCUAGGACUUGCUGAUCAGAAGGUCGGCGGUUCGAAUCCCCGCGACGGGGUGAGCUCCUGUUGCUCGGUCCCUGCUCCUGCCAACCUAGCAGUUUGAAGGCAUGUCAAAGUGCAAGUAGAUAAAUAGGUACCGCUCCGGCGGGAAGGUAAACAGCGUUUCCAUGUGCUGCUCUGGUUCGCCAGAAGCAGCUUAGUCAUGCUGGCCACAUGACCUGGAAGCUGUACGCCGGCUCCCUCGGCCAAUAAAGCAAGAUGAGCGCCGCAACCCCAGAGUCGGCCACGACUGGACCUAAUUGUCAUGGGCCCCUUUACUAUUUUAUAAAACCCAAUGGAUUUUCCAUCUUGUUUCCAUAUUUAUCUGGAUCACAGGAAGCUGUCUUCUAUUGAGACAGUCCAUUGAACCUUCUAGUUCAGUAUAAGGUGUGUAAAAGGAGAUGGCAUACCCUCUAACAUUUCUCUGAUGAAAAUAGGGAUGUCCUAUUUCAUCAUCAUCAUCAUGCCCCACCCUUCUGACUGGG